GAACGCCUCUAAGUCAGAAUCCCGCCUGGAAAGCGACGAUGCAUUCGUGCCUCGGCCUCGAGAGGCGUAGCUAGACGGCCGCGUGGCCGUGGAAAGAGCCCGAUUCCGACCCGAGAGGCCGCGGCAAGAGGCGGCCUCGAAGUCGGUGGAUCCUCCUGCUCGAAAGGCGGGGUGCUAAACCAUUCGCAGACGACCUAGUUGAAGAUCGGGGUGUCGUAAUCACUAGAGCAGUACAUCUCACUGCGAUUUGUUGAGAGUAAGCCUCAAGAUCUGUCGGUUUGU
rnacentral:ncRNA from 1 species